GGAUACUGUUACAUUGAUGGCAUUUGCUACUUUGAUGGCCAGUCUAAAAAACACAACGACUGCUAUAAAUGUAACUACACACUUAACAGAACAGCAUGGAUUUUCAAUGAAGGUCAUUGUUUUAUUGAUGGCCAAUGUUUCAAAGCGGGACAAAGUCAUCUAAUAAGCAGAUGUAUGUUAUGUGAUCCCAUUCGUAAUAGGAAUAACUGGACAAUGAGUUCUGAAUAUUGUUUUGUUAAUGGUUCUUGUAUGCAAGACGGGGAGACAGUAAAACUCAAUCCCUGCUUGAUGUGCAACAUUUCCAAAAGCAAAACCUCGGUGUCUCUGAAUCCUG